rnacentral:rRNA from 1 species
CACGUAGGGGACGAGCGUUGUCCGGAUUCAUUGGGCGUAAAGCGCGCGUAGGCGGCUCGGAAAGUCGGUCGUGAAAUGCCGGGGCUCAACCCCGGACUGCGUCCGAUACUUCCGGGCUGGAGGUAGGUAGGGGAGAUCGGAAUCCUGGUGUAGCGGUGAAAUGCGCAGAUAUCAGGAGGAACACCGGUGGCGAAGGCGGAUCUCUGGGCCUUACCUGACGCUGAGGCGCGAAAGCUAGGGGAGCGAACAGG